rnacentral:rRNA from 1 species
GAUGAACGCUAGCGAUAGGCUUAACACAUGCAAGUCGAGGGGCAGCACAAGGUAGCUUGCUAUCUGGGUGGCGACCGGCGCACGGGUGCGUAACGCGUAUGCAACUUGCCCUAUACAGGAGGAUAACCCGUCGAAAGACGGACUAAUACUGCGUAUGCUCACAACUUGGCAUCAAGUGGUGAGGAAAGAAAUUCGGUAUAGGAUAGGCAUGCGUCCCAUUAGCUUGUUGGUGAGGUAACGGCUCACCAAGGCAACGAUGGGUAGGGGAACUGAGAGGUUUAUCCCACACACUGGUACUGAGACACGGACCAGACUCCUACGGGAGGCAGCAGUGAGGAAUAUUGGUCAAUGGGCGCGAGCCUGAACCAGCCAAGUCGCGUGAAGGAUGACUGUCUUAUGGAUUGUAAACUUCUUUUAUACGGGAAUAACAAGAGUCACGUGUGACUCCCUGCAUGUACCGUAUGAAUAAGCAUCGGCUAACUCCGUG